rnacentral:lncRNA from 1 species
GACUGGCUCUGAUACCAACCUGAUAGGGAAAAACCAACGCGAUGGUUGACGAAGGAGAUUCAAGCCGAUGGAAGAUAGAACUCAGGAGGAAGAAUUGAUUUUAUUGAGUUGUUUAAUCAAACAAGAAAAUACAGUUCACAGAAAUUACAAAACGAAGUGUCAAAGUUUUCUCAGGAAAUCGAGAGAUCGGCAGACGGUGCGAGUUGACGAGCGGUGUGAUGCAAGCCGGAAUCCACCGGUUGAUUAACACUGGAUUCCACCAGCAAAGUUAGAGAAGAAGAAAGAGAUGACUAGGAGUGACGAAGAAAUAUUACCUGAAGGCAAAAUAAAACGUCUCCCCGAAGUCCUUGCAAGGCUUCGUCUUUUGUAGCUUUCGCGUCGUCAGUUAGGAGCGAGCGACUAACUGCCAUGGUUGUUACGUCGGUUGUGUUGACGUGUCCUUCAUCAGAUAUCUACUAAAAUAGUAUCCGAUCG